rnacentral:lncRNA from 1 species
AAUGAUAGAGGUAAGGCACUUUACUAUUACUAUACUCUCAUGGUGUGCUUUUAUCUACUUUGUUUGGUAAUAAAUGAUACUAAUGUGUUAAUAGAGCCCGGAUGAACGUAGGAUAAGAUACAAUUGGCAUGCCAAUAGGGUUAAUUGUGCGCUAGUACGAGAUAUGUGUAAAAGAUGAUGUGGAGAAAAAUAUCUAAUUAAGAUAUCACUGUUUACGUCGGAAUCCUGUAUUUGUUGUAGAUUACCGAGCUUUGUCUCUAAGGAGACAUUGGUGUGGUGGAGGGAUAAUGCAUUAUAUGAUACAGUAUUUGGGCCUAUAGGCUUUGCAAUACGGUGCCUUUGUGUGGUGUAGUUAUCGCUCUGUCGAGUUAUUUGGUGUGGUGUAGUUAUCGCUCUGUCAAUCUAUCUUGUGUAAUGUAGUUACCUGUGUAUUUAUAUAUUAUUAUUUUGGUUCAUCGGACUAACUGUUAAAAGGAAAACGUAUUGAUUGAUUCUAUGUGAUGCAUGGAAAUGAAUGUGUUUUUAUGAUUAUUAAAAGGUUAUAUGAUUGAACCGAAUAAAUUAUGUAUAUGUGUUUGACAGUUAUUCAGAAAUGAUAUUGAAUUGAAUUGAGUGAAUUGAUAGUUAAUCAUAUAUAUAUAUAUAUAUGAAAUGCUCACCUUGUAAAUGUGACAUGUUGUGAUAAGGAAAUAGAUAAAUUAGUUAAAUUCAGUAUAUGUUUUUUGUGAACUGAGGUAAGUUUUUGUUUAUAAACCUAUGAACUUACUAAGCAUGUUUAAUGAUUAUUCCAUUUUAUUUUUUUUUGUUUGUAGUUGACCCUCUUUGCAGAACUUGGUAGUCAAAUCAUCUUGAAGAUCACACUACUAUGGUUCAUUUUCGGUAGUAUUUUAAAUGUUCAUUUCACUUAUGUGGCAUGUAAUAGGAGUUGAAAUGUAUAUAAGUGUUUUGUAAAAGUAAAGUGUGAUUUUUGUUGCACAAAGUAUGCUUGCUUGUAGGUAUGUGGAUGUGUUUGAUCAUGGCUUGAAAUAGUAUCCUUAAAGGUG